rnacentral:tRNA from 1 species
GGGUCUGUAGCUCAGCUGGUUAGAGCGCUCGCCUGAUAAGCGGGAGGUCGGU